GACGAACGCUGGCGGCGUGCUUAACACAUGCAAGUCGAACGGUGAACGAGGGAGCUUGCUCCCUCCGGAUCAGUGGCGAACGGGUGAGUAACACGUGAGCAAUCUGCCCCGAACUCUGGGAUAAGCGUUGGAAACGACGUCUAAUACCGGAUACGACGCGGGAGGGCAUCCUCUCCGCGUGGAAAGAACUUCGGUUCGGGAUGAGCUCGCGGCCUAUCAGCUUGUUGGUGAGGUAACGGCUCACCAAGGCGACGACGGGUAGCCGGCCUGAGAGGGUGACCGGCCACCCUGGGACUGAGACACGGCCCAGACUCCUACGGGGGGCAGCAGCGGGGAAUAUUGCACAAUGGGCGGAAGCCUGAUGCAGCAACGCCGCGUGAGGGACGACGGCCUUCGGGUUGUAAACCUCUUUUAGCAGGGAAGAAGCGAAAGUGACGGUACCUGCAGAAAAAGCACCGGCUAACUACGUG
rnacentral:rRNA from 1 species